GAUUACUUGAGGUCAGGAAUUUGAGGUGCAGUGAGCCGUGAUCGUGCCACUGCACUCCAAUCUGGGCAACAGUCUCUCUCUCUCUCUUAAAAAAAGAGAGACUAAUUUGGGCAAUUGAGAUCUUUUCAGCAUCAAACAUUCAUGUCUAGGAAUGUGGUACUUCUCUCCAUUUAUUCAGGUCAUCUGUUAUAUUCAUAUCCUUUUUUAGAACUCUCAGUUUUUUCCAUAUAAGUUCUAUAUAUGUCUUGUUAAAUUCAUUUCUCAAUGUAUUAUAUCUUAGGUAGCUGUUGUGAGUGGAAUCUCUUUUUCUCUGAUAGUAUUUUCUAAUUGUUACUGACAUAAAAGACAAAAAUAUUGAUUUUUAUGUUUAUUCUGUAUUCAACCAAUGUGGCAAUUUUUUUUUUUUUUUUUUUUUUUUU
rnacentral:lncRNA from 1 species